GGAGUCGGCGAGGUGGUCGCGGGGACCGAGGGGUUCUCGAGGAAAGUCCGAGCUCCGCAGGGCAGGGUGCUGGGUAAUCCCCAGUGGGAGCGAUCCCAAGGAAAGUGCAACAGAGAGCAGACCGCCCCGGUGCCGGCUCGCAGAGCCCGGCGGCGGGGCAAGGGUGAAACGGUGAGGUAAGAGCUCACCAGCGCGGGCGGAGACGCCCGCGGCUAGGCAAACCCCACCCGGAGCAAGACCAAAUAGGGGAGGAGAGACGGCCCGUCUCGCCAUGACUCCCGGGUAGGUCGCACGAGGCGUCCGGCAACGGGCGUCCCAGAUCAAUGACCGCCGCGGGCCGCGAGGCCCGACAGAACUCGGCUUACCGCCGGCUCCGGCC
rnacentral:RNase_P_RNA from 1 species